rnacentral:lncRNA from 1 species
GCCAAGCUGUCUUGCCUGGCGGUGAAGUGUCAGGAGAGAAACAGCUUGUUGGUUCAGAUGAUGAAGGCCAUGCAUAGACGAGGCUGUGUGGACUCCACCCUCACACAGCAGGUGGAGCAGCUGCUCAGUGACGCUGCUCUGCAGGACUACACUGCAGCAUUCACACCGGGGGGCAACGUUAACACCCGAAAUUACAGCACUGGGUAUAUACCAGGAUUUAUUUCCAAAUUCCAAGACGCCACCAGUGGAUUCACACGUGAUCAGACCUGCUCUACUGCAUCCCCACUUGUAAAUCUGCACUACCAAAAUGGACUCGCACCUGAAUGUGGAGUAAAAUGUAGAGAACUAAAAAGUGAAAAACACACAUUUUUAGUCCCAGCUGAAGCCACAACAAAUUGUGCAAGACUGCAAUAGUGAAGUCACACCUGCACCAACAGGAACACUGAGGACAAAUGCCAACUCACCUGUGCCAACCUCACCAGUGCAAGAGCAUGCCCGUGUCCAAGCGACGCCAUCACCUGUUGUUCCAGCUCUGAAAGAGAGCUUCAUCUCCAAUACAGCACAGCUCUCUCCCUCACCAGAGAAAUGUGGAUUUCAUCCCCCAGUCACGAAAGGGAAAUCCUCUCCAGAUCUGACCAGUUCGCCUGGAUCCUCACUGAGUCCGAGCCGGAGACUGAGCAGUCCUGAGAAGAUCAUCAACCUACAUGAGCAACUGCAGAAGACUCUCAUGAGCAGCUAUCAGGCUCCAGUGAGCAGAGGAAGAGGACAUCAGCCCAGGAAAUGUCUCUCAUUUUCAGCUCCUGCAGACCUGAGACCAGCCUCUCAGACAAAGAAGCAGAGCUUCAGUUCCGAUACACCAAAUACCAACUCUCUCCCAGUCACUGCUGCUGUGAGCCAAGCUAAGCACCCUCCACCAGUGACGACCACAAAUCGGUCAACAACACUUUUUAAUGCCGUCGCCUCCAGAUCUGCCCACGUUACAUUCAGACCUAACAUUAUUACUAACCAUCACUUUAAUGCAGACACAUCUAAAACUACAACGUCUGCUCUUUCUAGCUCUUCUUGCUCUCCACUUGCCACUCUGGCACCUUGCAAAGCCAUAUCCACCUCAAGCAGUGCCACUAAUAUAACAACACCCCCAAAACUGGCAAAGAAAAUGUCUGCUAUCCCUGACAAAUCGGAUGCUAAACAUUCAGCUUCUACUCCUCUAACUCUGAGGACCUCUACCUUUGACUCUGAUGUCUUAAUACGUUCUGACACUAAUCCUAAAACCACUGCCUCAGACACAACUGUCCCGAGCAUAUCAACUGCCCUCGAGGCUUAUCGUUCUAACAUGCCUUGUAAAACGGAUGGUGCUACUCCUGCAUAUCAUGGACUUAUAUUUGCUGCAUCCUGCUCACCACCUGCUCAUCGCCUUCCUGAGAGAAGCAACAAGUCUGCCAGAAAGUCCACCGCUGCUCUAGAGAAGCAAGCAAGACCCAAACCAGGUAUUGCACACAUUUAAUAUUUGAGAUUAUUUCCACAAAGGCAGAACACACCACUUCUUAAUUUCCUGCUAGAAGAAAUUCUUGUUUAAAUUUUUUCUUUUUAAUGCCUUUAAUGAUUUGACAAUAAAACAGCAUUUGCUGAAACUUUGCACAAACACGUGUUGUAGCUUCUGUGCGUAAUAUUGCUGUUUACAAUUGUAGAAUAUUACUUGUUGCUUGUUUAUUGCUGCAAUGUGAUUAUACCGAGCCUAAAUAUGGACCUUUCUCUGUUUCUGUCUCUUGUAUUGGAAAUAAUGUUGAAUGAAAUUGCAGUUUGAUGUUGUCCUGUUUAUUGCACACAUGGGAGAAUUUAACCUACAGGGCUUUCUACCAGAAAGGGUUUAUUUUAACCCAAACCAUAAUCUUGACCAUGACGUAACCAAGUACUUUUGUUGCCUAAGCCGAAGGAGAUUUCUUGCAAAAAGCCCUGAUUGUUAACUUCUCCUAUGUGCGUUUAUUGCUCAUAUGCAGUAACACAUUGCAAAACAUAACCAUAAACCUUUACUAAAUCGCUUGGAUUGAUCACUAACUUCAGUAUGCAGUAAGUCUUGUUAUAUCAAUGUUAUAUGAAAUUUAAAGUUAAAAGAUGAGCUGUAAAAGUAACAAAAGGGAGAAAUGGAGAAGUACCUUGUGUUUACAACAGUACAAGCAUUGUGCAAGGAAGACAAGGCACUGAACUUGAUUAUUCUUUGUCCGAUCUCCUGCAGAAGCUCCAGCCGAGGUUCGCUCUGUUGAGGUCAUCAAAACAGUCGGACAGAGCAGCCUCAUGAUUGGCUGGGAGAGGCCGCCACUUGACGAGCUGGGCUGCAGCAACGGCACAUUUGUGUACGGGUACAGGGUAGGCAGAACAAACUACAUGGACUACACAUGGGCUUUGAUAUUAGUUUGUUCUUGUACUUAUUAUUUCUUGUCCCCUCUCAGGUGUUUAUAGAUGGGGACUUUCACAAAUCUGUCAUGAGCUCAGCAUGCACCAAGGUAUCAGUCUCUUAAAAGCUGUGCAGCAUUGUAUCCUGUUAUCACUCUAAAAAUGAAACUUCAUAACAGCAUUGUGCUGCAAACUUUGUUUAUUUUUCUAGAGUAUUCUGGAGAAUGUCGACCUGAGUGUCCCAGUCCACAUCAGUGUCCAAACGCUGGGCUCUAAUGCGCUCAGUUCACAAUUUGUCCACACAAUGUACAGGACAGUCAGAACAGACCAACACUGACUCACAGCAAACUAAAUGGUGGCAAAGGUCAACAAGUAAGUAUAGAAAUAUAAGACACCCCUGUUUCCAACAUGGUUCAUUGUUACCGGGUCACAUUUAUCAGUGUUUCAUUAAUUGGUCAGUGUCUCUCUAGGACAACUGCAACUUCUCAGUGGAGACCUUCACUGCCAGUGGCCAAAGUUUGAAUGGUAAUUUAUGUCUUUGUAUCCUUGUUUAUUUGUAUUGCUCUUUUUAUUUUGUAAUGUUUGUAUUGUCUUGUUAUGUGUGUAAAACUAAUAACAGAUACAUAUGACAUUAGAGCAUCAACUGAUAUUUAAAAAGUCCAUAAGAUACUUUUCUUUCUCCUCUGUGUGACAAUCUAUUUGUCCCUUCGUCCUGUGUGUCCACCCUUCAGUGCACAUCCAUCUAUAGCUGCAGUCCUCUGUGGGACAGUCCCAACCUCCACCUCAGCAGACAGACGGGGAGACUCCGUCACGCUGCUGGGACACGCUCAGGCUCAGGUCAGCCAAUCAGAAGAAUCUCACGUUUUCCCACUUUAUCAGCCUUUGAUCAAAAUAGUGACCUGUGGCCGUCCGCUGAACCCUUAAAACAGUUAACUGAAGAUGUCAUAUAUAAUAGGACUCCUGCCUCUGCACGGAGAGUUCGCCUGCAUGUAAAAGCAGGUGAAUAAUGGCUUCAUCCUUGUUGGAAGAACUUCCUGUUUCAGACUCCCACGCGCCAGCUUCACCUCUUGAAUGGACGCAGUGACUGCCAGGUGAAAGGCCAGAGCAGGCAAUCAAAUAAAUCCUGACAAACUAUUUAAAAAUAAAACAAUGAUACUUUACUGCAAACUAUAUGAAGCCAAGAUCAAUCAGUUUGUCAAAAGCUGCCUCUGACACCAACAUUUACCAACAUUGUUAGACAGACGAUGUUGGAGGGACGUCUGCAUCUGCUGCACAUUGUAACACUGUGCUAACACCGAGAGAUCAUGUGUCGUCAUUGCUUCAUCGGAGAUCCCCGCUGCUGCCUCUCUGGACUCUGUGACAUGAAGCGCCGGCUAAAGGGACACGUACUGUAUCAAAAGUUUAAAUCAACGUAUACUGUAAAGUGUACAGACGAAACAUUGUACCCACAUGAAGCCAAAUAUGGGAAAAAAAAUGAUUCACUCCAAAGACUUAUCUGUUUCAUUCUCCUCACAGGUCUACAGGAUUACUACAAACACAGAAGUUAUUUCAGUUCUGACAUUUGCACACAGUCAUUGUUAAUAUCUAGAAGAUGAAAUAAAAAAGAGAUUAUCACAUAUUUUUUUGUAGAGAAACUAUGAACAAAUAUGCCAAUGUACCACAAACUAGGUCUUUUUGUAUGAGUGACACUUUGUUCUUCAUAUAUAACAGAUGUCAUGUGUGCACGCUCAUAUUGUUUUCUACAGUGUUCACAACACACACACAUAUGAUGUUCUUUUGCUACUUACUGUAUGUACGGGUGCGGAUUGAUCAUGGUGCAGCAAAGAUAUUUUUCUAUCAGUAAUAGAACAUAUUGAUUCCUUGAGACUGUACAGAGAAUAAAUGUUUAUAUGAUAUAUGAUGUUAUUCCAGCGUCUGUGUGUGUAUGUGAACUGAUGUAAGAGGCGAAAACAUAAAACACUUUUCUGUUCAUUUCUUGUUAAAAUUGAUUCAGAGAAUAUGUUGCGGCCCAGAAAAAAACCAAAUUGGAUUUAGAAUUUUCUUGUAAGCUUCUUAAGCUCCAUAUAAUGCAUUGUCACAAAGCUAAAAAUGUUUCUUAGCUCAGCAAAAGUUGAUGUUUUAGAGAUACAUGGUUUGCUUAUGACAAUGACAUUAAAUGUGUCAAAUUAAACCUGC